AGGCGGGGUCUCGUCGGAUCUGGCGAGCCUGCGCAGAGGAAAGAAGACGUGCCCUCUCGGGGCUUCGAUUGAGCAGCCAGUUUCCGCCUUGUGGUGCCUCGCUCACGGAUAAAAAAAACUGCUGGAAAAUGACCGUACUCUACAGUUCAGACCGUUCUGCAUUUGAAGAAUAUAGGCCUCACUCUCCAAGUCCAAGCCCUCUCUGGAUUUGUGAAGUUUCAUCAUGGAAAAAAAGUAAAGCACAACAAAGGCCCUUCGUAUCCCAGAUACUGCAGAACAGGACCAGCCCCUCCUCACAGGUUGGUGGUACCCUAUUAACUCGGAGUUGUUGGCUGUGACCCGUCAAGAAACCCAGUGGCGCCAUGAAGAAUUGUCAAGGCUGGAUGAAUCCAUCUUCUAAACUAUAAUCCUUCAAAAAUUUGGAGCCCUUUGAGUUGUCAUUUCUUCAGGCAGAACAACACCAGCUCCUUCAGAAAUUUAUUUCAUGUCCCAACUUUUAAGUUCUCUCACAACGUUGUUGUUGUUGUUGUUGUUGUUGUUGUUGUUGUUUUCUGAGCAAACGCCAUUGUCCCCAUCUCCCUCUUAAGAUAGAGGAUACAGAAUUUAUCACAAAAAAUGUGAAGAUGACUAUGUGGGAAAUGCUGGAUGAUGAGUCUCCCACCUGCAAAGCUAGUCCAACAAAAGGAAAUGGACUAUAAGAAGACAGCAGACGUGAUUUGGAUACAAUAAAGAACUUGUGAAUUUACUUUUAAUUCAGUAAGCUUUAGGCCUGCAUGCCUUCAAAAAGUCAAUCUUUCUCUUCCUUCUCCUACCUCUUCCUUACUACACUAGUGCCAACUAUUUUUUUAAUUUGAGGUGGCAUCUCUUCCAGGCAGACUUCCCUAACUCCUUUAGUCGGGGUUGGGUGCUCCUUCCAGACUCCCGCCACACCUGUGCAUGUCCCUGUCAAAGCACCUUCCGCCUGCUUUAGAUUGCUGAGUUGACAUCCCUUCAACUUGAUGGCUGGUGCCCAAGACACUGAAUUAUCGGACUUUUAACAAUGCCUGGCACCAAAGAGGGGUGAAAAAUAUGUAUUGAUAGCAAAUCGAGUGCUAAAACACUGGAAUGAAAACCUGUGGAACAAUCUGGGAAGGUCUCCCAGCAUUCAUCGAAGACAUGAAAGCUGAUAGGUGUGUGUCCCUUGGGAUUAUCCUUCCACUCAUUUACUCAUCAUUUAUAACUAAUGUGUGAAGAGAGCUUUGCCCCAGGCAUUCCAUACAGAGGAUGGAGUCACAUCUCUGGUACAGAACGAUGACACCAAACAGGAGCGAAAGACAAAAUCUCUACUGAUUGCCAGUCAUCUGAUAGAGACCUUCACCAGCUAAAGCCCUUCUAGACUGGGAUUUCUAUGGUGGCCAAGGGAUUUACAGUAAUGUGGCUAUAACAGAAAUAAAAGAGGCUAGUGUGGAGGAGGUUUUCUGAGAAUGGCUUUCGGGUUCCAGGAGCAUGGGUCAAGAGGAGUACACAGGGGAUGGGGCUGGGCUUGCUCCUAGGUGCCCUCAGCUCCCCUUCUGGGCUGUCUGCACAAGGCAGGGCAGGGACCACACUGCGCUGCUCUGAUGGUCAGGCAGAUAGAGCUACAGGGCAUGAUCACAAUCCCAGAAGCACAGGACUGAGAGGUGUGGCAAUAAAGGAAACUGGAAUUCUAGAGACAAGAAAAAAUAAAUCCACUCAAGGAACCAUCUCAACUAAUCGGCCACUAGGCUCUGUUUGCAGAGGUGACAUCAUUGAUAGUGCUUACAGGCAGAAUAAGGCCAGAUUUGCCAAGGGACAUGUGUAGGCUUCCAAGCCUUCUAAUCCCUCCUCAGCCACACCCAAAAAUAAACUGUAGGAGGAAAAUUUUAUUUGGCAUAAUCGGAUAUUUUUGUCUUGCUUACCUAAACUGUCACAAGUGGUUGGUUAAAAUAGCAUAAAAUGAGUGCUGUUUUAUAAGAAAAAAAUUUUUUCAGAAAUUCCAAAUAGGUAAAUAUCUUUUUUUUUUUUUUUUCCAGUUUCCUAAGGUCUUUUUUUUGUAAAAAGCAAAUUAAACCUAUUUGAGGUAGGGCCUGAAUGUUAUUCAAUUCUGUUGGGGCCCUUUACUCUUGGCUGUGGCUACAAAAGAAGAUUCCCAGUAAAUGGGCCUGUGGGGGUGGCUGCCAUUUACCCCCAUGUUUUCAUAAAUGGAAGCAGCCAGGCAAAGAGCACAGCUGUCAUCAUUUUCCACACAGGCACCGGGGGCUUGGGAGCUACUUGAGCAAGGGCCAAUAUGACAGGCAGGUUUUCUCACAGAGCAAAUCUAAAAUUUUAUUAGCAACAAUUUGGACUGUUCAGGCAGGUUCGAUGUCUUGUGUGUACGUGUAAAAAUAGAUCCGUUCGCUCUUCCUGCAUUCACCUUGGCUGUUUCUCACGUCUAAAACUAACCUGUAAUGGGCACCCACUGUUCCCUCAUAUUUGCAAUGGUCAGUGAUCAAAAGAAGAUUGGAGCUGACCAGAUGUAAAAUGAAAGAUUCACCAGAUAGACCGGAAUGAAAGACUCACCUGGAGCGGAAACCUGAAAGCGAACUCUUCACCAAAGGCAAUGCUAGGUUCAAGAGUGAGGAUGGAUGGAAGCCAGGCAGCGGCUUGGUAAUGCAACUGAGAGUGGACCUUAAACAUCUCUGGAGGGAUGAUGAGAUGGACAGAGUAUUGGUUGGCGGAUGUUUUGACAAGCUACUUGGGAUGAGAGAUACGGAGACAUGAGGAGGAGGAUUCAAGCUGACUCAAUCUUUUAUGCUCUCCAAGGUGGUUUCGUCACUGGUUGUCUGAAGUACUAGCUGGGUAGCUUCCAGCUUUGGAUAGCAGGGGCAGAAGAAGUCAAGGACUUAAGAGAAGGGGAUGUGUCAGCUCUGGACAUGGCCAGAGUUGUCUUGGAGAUACUGGGAAGACAAAAUGUUUGACUUUUCAAUAGGGUUUCCAGUGAACAUCAUGGAGCCCACAGUCCCUUCGGGACAAAAGGUCACAAUUUAAUGAAAAAACUGUUUAGAAGAGAGGCCAAUAUUUAUUGGUAUUAAUUUAAAAAUAUUUAUUCACCUAAAAGUUAAUGAUGUUGAAAACUUCAAAUGUUUUCUGGUUGGUGCUGUCAUUAAACUUUUCUGUUUUGUUCGGAAGUAUCGAGUGGAUGUUUUCUCCCACCUUUCAAUCUAUCAAUGUGAAUAGCAUCAAGACAUUAAAUAUUUAUCAGCUUAAAUGCAAAGCUUUCAUUUGAAAUUUUUGGUAUUAAAUUCUAUCUCUUUAACCUGAAACUUUGCUGGAAACAUUCCUAAAAUUAAGGGGAAAGGAAAAAUUCUACACAAUGCCAAGGGCUUUGCAGAUAUAAUACAGAGUUGUUUCAACACAUUGCAAAUACAGGUGGUCUUACGUUUUCAAGUGGACAUUAUGCAGUUAAAAUGCCACCUAUUGGCUCCUUAUAUCUUCUAGCCCCAUCCACUGUUUUUAGACAGGUAGUAGUAUUUCUAGCAAUUACAAUAAGCAAAUGGAAUACUGUGAUCUGGGGGCUUUAUAAGGCACAUCUUCAUUAGUUUUAAAUUCUUCUGCUUUAUGUAUGAAAUUGUGGUAAAUUUGUUCACUUCAGAAAGUGUUCCACAAUUAUGCUGUGUCCAUUUGAACCCUUUAAAUGAAGCCAAUUAAGUCCUAUUUGCAUUAUUAUUUCUGUUAUAGACAGAUGAUUGAGUUUUAUCAAUUUUUCUCCUAACAGCCAAAUCAUAAAUGUACCAAUUAGACUUAAAAUCACACUUUCUCUUCCCUUGUUUUAUUG